UACGUAGGGGGCUAGCGUUGUCCGGAAUCAUUGGGCGUAAAGCGCGCGUAGGCGGCCCGGUAAGUCCGCUCUGAAAGUCCAGGGCUCAACCCUGGGAUGCCGGUGGAUACUGUCGAGCUCGAGUCCGGAAGAGGCGAGUGGAAUCCUGGUGUAGCGGUGAAAUGCGCAGAUAUCAAGGAGGAACACCAAUGGCGAAGGCAGCUCGCUGGGACGUGACUGACGC
rnacentral:rRNA from 1 species